GGAGGGAACGCUUUUUCACUCUUUCCUUGUCCUGUGAACUUAACACUUUAAAUCUCAGAGUUGCGAAAAGCGAUCUGCAGGGCCUGUCAGGGCCCCCAGGUCUUGCUGUGUACCAGCACGGUAAAUGUUUAAUUUAAAAACAUUCAUUGCGGUAAAAGACACAUUGCCAUUAACUUCACAAACGCUACUCCACCUCGCUUUGAACACACCUGUCAAAUGGUUCUUGCUAUUUUCGGGACUGGAACUUGAAGAUCUGUUUCGUUUUUUUUUUUUUUUUUUUUUUUUUUAGGUAGGAUUUCAUCCUGUGGUUCCGCUGGCCUUGAAGUCACUUUGUAGCCCAGGCUGGCCUUGAAUUGGCUUCAGUCCUCCUGCCUCAAUCUCCUGAGUGCUGGGAUUACAGGUGUACGCCACCUCAUCCAGUUUCCUAAUUACCUUUAUGAGUGUGAUAAAAAAUAUGGUGAAUGCUGCAGGCUCACAAAAUCUAGCAUGUCUUCAUCUUUUUUUUUUUUUUUUUUUUUUUUUUUUUUUUUUGAGACAAGGUCUUCCUAGGUAGCACAGGUUGGCCUUGAGCUCACGGUGAUCCUCUUGCCUCCGCUUUCUGAAUGCCAAGAUUAUAGGUAUGUGCCACCCGCUUAUCUCAUGCAUCUUUCUUGUUUUUUGAGUUAGAGUCUCCCUUCUCACUGUGCAGUGCAGGCUGGCUUGAACUCACACAUAUAACCUAGGCUGGUCUAGAAUUUACAGUAAUCCUCCUGACUCAGCCUCUUGAGUAUUGGGAUUACAGGCAUGCAUCACCAUGCCUGGCUCCUCAACCAUUUUAUUCAUAGGAUCUAGCAUCUGGCACUGUGUGACUUCUGGUUCUUCCCCAAAACUAAAAUGAUCAUGAAAGGUAAACGUUUUGAAUCAGUUCAAGACGUUGAUGUAGCGAGAACAGUGAAGUUAAAAGUUUAUGAAAGAGGCCUUCCAGAACUGCUCCAGAGGGUGGCAUGAAGGAUGGGAGAAGUAUUUUUGUGUGUGGGUGGUGGGAGGGCGGGGGCUUGGGGUAAUGACAAUUUUUCUUUUACUGUAAUAAAUUUUAAAAAUUUAAAUGCUGAAAUUUUCAGUCAUAAGUGUAUGUGCUCACUCUGCACAUUCAUGUUAGAAAAGUAGAAAGUGUUAUACACUAACAAAAAGAGCUUCCUUAUGUUUGUAUUAGUUUGCCAAUGCCCAAGUUAUAUGACCAAAUUACUUGUUAAUUCCCUUUGCAAACACAACUAUUUUCUAUAAUGGGAUGGAUACCUUGGGGCACCGACCACAUUGUUAUAAAAUAGCUGUAGCUCUGUCAUACUGUUCUGUAUGCUCCAUCUUCCCGGAUGACCUAACUGAUAUGUUAACCAUUGCUCCCCUCUGCAAAGGACAGAUGUUAUCUAAAAUUAAGUGCUAAAAUUAGUUGACAAAGGAUUGUAAAUUCUUGCGAGACCUCUCUGUCCUCUGCAAAGGGAAACAAAGGUCUUCCCCAUUCCUUAGCUGAUCAAGAAUUUCCUCAUUUCCUGAUCCACAUCCAUAAACCCCUUUCUUGUAAUUGCUCUUUCUACAAAAGUCUGUGAAAAGUUUUAAGCGAGUUACACAGCUUUGUGAACUCCUACUGCACUGUGUUCCUGGUACCAGGUUAAAUAAAAGCGCCCCUUUUUCUUAAAAAACAUGUCUUGCCCCAUUUUUGGACACCAUUUUGGGGGCUUGUUUUUGGAGUGCAAGAGAAAGAUCCAUUUUAAAAACAAGGAAGAGGGGGCUGAGGAUAUAGCUCAGGGGCACAAGUGCUUGCCUGAAUUUGAUUCCUGGUACCAAAGGGAAAAAAACAAACAAAAAAAACCUCCCACCAAAACCAAAAACAAAAAAACCAAGAAACAAGGUAGAGAGUAAAAGCAGAAUAGGUACUAGUCACAGAGCAGGUCCCCAGGAGCCAGGGCUAUCUCUUUCUCCCCACUGGAGAUAAUUAAUAAGCAGUAGUGACCAUUGCCGGGUGGAUUGCCAUAGGAUUGUUGGUGGUUACUGCCAAGGGAUUAUUGCCACUUUUUCCUUAAACUUUAAACUGAUAACAGCUGAAAAGCAAAAAACUGAAACUUCAAACCCAAAAAAGCAACUGCAAGUAAAAGUCACCCUGUGUUAGUAAGACAUUUGUCUUUGUGUUUGCAAUGGAGUUGGGAAUUUUACUUAUUUGCUUUUAUUUUUUUGGUACCGGGGAUCAAGCUAACGACUUUGUACUUGUCAGGCAGGCGCUUAUGCUGCUGAGCUAAAUCUCUGGCCCAGGGGUUUCACUAAGAACUAGAACUUCUGGCCACUAAUCCUGGUUCUAUAGCUUUGUUGUAAAACUUUUUGAUAAGACUCCUUGCUGUGCCUUCUGAGGUUCCAUUUUUUCAUCUGUUAAGGUUGAGUUUGUCUUUCCUAUUUCAUAACAUUCUUCUGGCUCUCCGCUAAAAUGAUGGUUUUGAGGAAGAGGGCUUCAAAUCCUUCAGAGUAGAUGGAGACUGGAGGGACUGGGCUGCGGGCAUUCUGGUGUCUGUUCUUGCCCUGUUCACUCACUGAGCACAUGGAGCCAAAUCUUCAUCUCUGUGUUCAGCCUCUCUAGACCCACAUUUUCUGUCACUUGUUUGGGAAAUUGAAAGCCCCCUCUGUGCAUCAGACUCAGUAACUCAAGAACAUUUCAUUUUCCCUAAACAAGUAUGUCUCUCUCUAGCUUCCCUUUCCCUGCCAGGGGUGCUGUGCUCCUCCGUUUUUGUGCUAGGGACUUGAAUGCUUUCUUACUCGCACUUCUUAUCAAAUACUAAGUGAUGCAUUGUAGCUUCCACUGUUUUAGUUUAAUUUUCAUUCCCUCUUUUCACUUAUUUUCUAUCUAUUUCCUUGCCCUUCAAUGUGUUCUGCUGCCGGUUAAAAACACAUUUUCCAGAGCUGGGGAUUUAGCUCAGUGGCAUAAGGGCCUGUGUUGGGCGCAGGCGCUCAACAUACCAUACCCCACCCGGGACUAAGGACCACGCCAGCUUCCGCAAUGCGCUACGUCCCUCCUUAAAUUAGCCAACCCGUGUGCACUUCGUGCUCACUCCAUACUCUGUGGCAACUCCUGAUUGGCCACAGCUGGAUAUAGUAGCCGGAGCCUACAUCCCAUUCCCGCCCUGCUUCCUUGUGGUAGCCUGUGAUUGGUCACGGCCGAAUAUAUAAACCAGAGCCCGCCUAAAUAAACUAGCAGUUAACUGUCGUCCACAAAAGCGUCUCCUGUCUCCUGUUUCAUUGGAGCUGCGCCGGUCAACUGGUGGCCCGUACGGGGAGCCCGGAGCACUGAGACCCUCUCUCCGACAGUACGAGGAGCGCUGAGACCCUCUUUCCGAUGGAACAGAGACGUUAACAGGAAGAAGGCAGCGAACCUGUCUGGGUCCCGGAACGCCUGAUACGUCCCUGCAAACCACCAGACCCUGACCCAGAGGAAACGUCAACCACAGAACAGGGGAACCAACAGGAGCCUCACAAGCCAGACCAAGCAAGUAUACCCACAACUCCCAUUAACCAUGGCACCUUGGCCAACUCCCCUGGUUAGUAGCCUCCUUUUCCCUUCCUUCUUGCAUCUCGUACGGUCCUUGCAGCCAGUGACUUUUCUAAAUUGCUCCACCGCAACCUGUUAUAUGUUAUAAUGUUGGGAUAACAGUACACUUUCAGCUGUUGUUAUGCAGGUACUCCAGUUCGCACCGAUUCCAGUUAUGGCGGACUCAGACGAGUUUCCUGUGAUCCAGCUCGGGCCAACUCUCCAAUUGGCUUUCAUAAAGGAAUGGGCAGGAACAGGGGCUCUGGCUACCAUAACUACACUUGCCGCAUUCGGCAGUCUACUUCUGCUCUGUCGGAUUCGCAGACAAAGGAAUAGGGACAAAGUAUCAAACAAGCAUUGCUGAUCAUGGAAUCUGGUCAAAGCCCGGCAGCAUGGCUCGCCAUGCUGUGACGCAGGUGUGGAGCAAAGCAUCGCAGGGGGUGUCGUCCUUGGCCAGGAGACACCCCGGUCCCCAUGUCGGUGAGCAUGUGGGUUGGGCUCAUAAAACAGAUUUCCCGCCCCCUCCAAAAGAGCACCAACGAGUAGUGAGGCACUGUCAUGACUGCAGCGUGACACCUCACGAGGGGCACCGACCUCUGGAGACCCUGCGUCAGUUAUAAAGAAAGGGGGAGAUGUUGGGCGCAGGCGCUCAACAUACCAUACCCCACCCGGGACUAAGGACCACGCCAGCUUCUGCAAUGCACUACGUCCCUCUUUAAAUUAGCCAACCCGUGCGCACUUCGUGCUCACUCCGUACUCUGUGGCAACUCCUGAUUGGCCACAGCUGGAUAUAGUAGCCGGAGCCUACAUCCCAUUCCCGCCCUGCUUCCUUGUGGCAGCCUGUGAUUGGUCACGGCCGAAUAUAUAAACCAGAGCCCGCCUAAAUAAACUAGCAGUUAACUGUCGUCCACAAAA